CUAAUACCAUUAUUCAUGGAAGUAUUGGAGCUUCGUAUACCGCGGUAACCCAUUGCCUUACCCAGUGUCACUGAAUUCAGGCACUCAGACUAAGUCUAGCGGAGAUUGAGGAAACACCGUGGCACGGCUGAUCUCACGAAAUGACGUGCAAGAACUUGGUCUCUUGGUUAACUAUCAUGUUUGCGAUUGUUCUAGUGACGGAAGGGAAUUGGUACGGGAAAAGAGACGAUGACGCAGAAAACAUUUUUCUUCGAUACCUAGAACAAACAAAACUGCCACAAAGGCAAAACACAGACGACAGACUGAAGACGUUGUUGUUAAGAACAUUAAUCGGAAAAUUAAAUGUCCACCAAUCAGAAGAGGAACUUGAAAAACCGAAGACGAGGUUCUAAAGAAUGGUGACAGAUCUGUUGCCGCACUUGCUGAGAAGAAAGAUGGCAAAUAUUCAACUUUCUACAAAUGAAAACUUUCAUAAUUCUUAGAGGAAAUGUAUCACAUGCACGUACUAAAUAUAUUUAUUUUAAUGACAAUUUCUUAGUAAUUCAAAUAAGCAUGCAUACGAAGUACAUGUAUGUUUGCUUCUCAACGAUAAAAUUGCAUUUCAUUAUCAUACGCAUGGAAUGUACAUAAUCAUGUUAAAAUUGUUCAUCAGUUAUGUAAUUUUAUGUAACUUGAUUCGAUAAUCAUGCUAUUGAAAAAACAAACUGCAUUAUAGAAGAAAACACUUUACAUAGGACGGAUAAGAAUCUGAAGCUGUACUUGAAAUGUAUUGACACAAAUUGGUGCAUGCGUACCAAAAUGCCUCUCAAAUUAGAUCGAGAACUCAAUGUUUAUUUUCUAAGAAUGGGUGUUUGCUCCAUAUUUUUGUUAUGGUUUAAUGAAAGAACUAAUUUGAAUAUACAAAAAACUUUUAGUGAUACCCUACCUUAAAUUAAAAAUAUAUUAUUUAAAGACAGCAUUCUGAACAUUUAAUAAAAAUGAUAGAAGUAUAUUUUAUAAAAUCUAAAUAUCCACAAUAUGUUGGAGAGGAGUAAAUCGAAAUCGAAAUAAUCCAAUUAUAAAAAUUUGCGCCAUUUUAUAAGCCCUUGUUUUUAAAAAAAACAUAGUCACCUUUCAAAAUGUAGUAUCGUAAUAUUUUUAUACAAUUUGUAUGAAAUAUUGUUUUUCCUGCUUUUUUGAGAUGUACAUUUUUUAAAAAAUCAUUGAGAACAUUUUGUAUUCUCAUAAACAAAGGACACAAAGUCAUUAGUCUAAUGUAUUGAUGCUAAAGAUAUGUUCGAUGUGUAUCGCCGACUAAUUAAUCAAAGGAUGGCCAGAAAGUUGAUAGUCUAAUGCCCAUGGCUCAGAUGUCUGUAAGGGCGACAAGAUGAUGUCAAUUCCAAAUUAAUCUGAUAUAAAUAAGGGCAACUGAGAUAGUGAUCACGGAACCAUGUCUUCAUGAGUAAUAUAUAAGACCAGUGAACAGAUGAUGUAUGAUUCAUUACAUGGAGGGAGGUAAAAAAAAAUCCUUGCUACAUCCAAUGAUUUGUAAAUACUGUAUGUCCAGUUUUACUUAAAAUCACAUAAAAAUGAUAUGAUAUUGUCUCUAGCUAUUGUUCAAAAUUUGCUUUUAUAUUUUUUUGUCUGGUAAAAUAUAUCUAUUUAAUUCAGUAUUUGAUGCAUUAAAUAUAUGUCUUUAUUAAUUAUUCAAUAAAAAAUCAUGAAUAAUCAUA